rnacentral:lncRNA from 1 species
GAUAACACCCGUGGGAAAGAAACAAGACUGUACAGCCCUGCUUUUUGUAGCCUUCUCUUAGCAGCCUGUGCCACAGGAAGUGCGGUGUCGCAUGGCGUCUGAAAUGCUAUUUUUAAAGGCAUUGGAAUGAAAAGGCUGGGAACGGCGCUCGGUCGGUAGAGUGCUCGCUAUACAAGCAUGAGGAACAGAGUUUGAUCCCCAGCAUCCACAUAAAAAAAGGUGGUCGGAGCAGCAUGUCCUUGUAGUCCCAGCAGAUGAGAGGCAGAGACUGGCAGACCUCUGGCACUCGCUAGGCAUCCAGCAGCCAAGAGGUGGAUCAGGAAUGGCAUGGAGAAAAGUGACAUGAUGUGAACUAGGACCUAGAGAGAAGGUCUCAACACUGUCCUUUGCAGCCAAAGCUUGAGUAACAGCUAACCCAGCUGUUCUGUCUAAAUUGUCAACUGGAGCAAGAAGCCAGGAGACAAGGAGUUAAUGCAAAGAUUCGGGAAUGCUAUACCUGGUCCCUCUGUGCCACCACCCUCUGUGAUCCCGGAAGGGACAAUGCCCUUCUACUUAGCACCUCCAUGUUCCAAGAGAAAGAAAGGGGAGCUGGAGUCCAGCAGACUUGGAAAUCCUGGGCAGAACUUCAUCUCUGGACCCCAGAGCUAGAAACACUGGGGAAAGCUGAGAUCUCACACUGUUGGAGAUUGGUUCUCAUGCUUUGAUUCAAUCAGGAACCUGCAUGUCCAAACAGCAAGGUCCUUGUCACCAAUUGGUUUUUGAUCAAUCAAUAAAGAUGCCAGC